UACGAAGGGGGCGAGCGUUGUUCGGAAUUACUGGGCGUAAAGGGCGCGUAGGCGGCCGAUCAAGUCAGAUGUGAAAGUCCUGGGCUUAACCUGGGGACUGCAUUUGAUACUGAUUGGCUUGAAUGCAGGAGAGGAUAGCGGAAUUCCCAGUGUAGAGGUGAAAUUCGUAGAUAUCGGGAGGAACACCGGUGGCGAAGGCGGCGAUCUGGGUCGAUACUGACGCUGAGGUGCGAAAGCGUGGGGAGCAAACAGG
rnacentral:rRNA from 1 species